UUAAUUUAUACACGAAUAAUGAGCAGAAGCCAGUAUUUGAUUGCAAAAACGCGAUUAAAUAUACAGAAUCAAUCAAGAAGACAACCAAAUCAAUUAGCAAAAGAAAAAGUUUUUCAAUCUAUUAAAGUUUAGAUAAAGUUAUUAUUUCCAUCUUUUGCUAACGAUGUAUACGUCUUUGCUCUCCACCAACUCCACUCAAUUAUUCAUUCAAUAAGCACCAACGUUCCAAGAGAGAAAGUAUUGCAAAGUUAGUGGAAAAAAAAGGAAAAGUGUGCUGCCACCUUUUGCCCACCACCUUUUGCUUUCCUCCCUCAGCCAACCACCACCUCCAUGGCUUUUAAAUUCAGCCAACAAAACUAAUCAUUCAUUUCAGAGGGAGUAAGUUAAUUCCUGCUGCCAACUGCCAAGUAUCGAGAGGUGAGUCUUGGCCUAAGUUUUCUUCAUUCCAUACUUGGUUCUUUCUGCAUUUGUUGAGGAAACAAUAUUUGCAAUUUCAGUUCCUUCCCCAUUGAAUUCAAUAGCAACAAACAGCCACCAACAACAAGCAAUUACAGGUCAAGCGCGAGAGUAAGAACUAUUCAAGGAGUCACAAUACCUUAGCAAAACUUUGCUAUCAGGUUGAGUUGUGAUGGGCGAUGAAGUGUUGCUGAGUGGAGUUUUUGUCGAACUUAAAGUAGGCUCAGAAAGGAUACAUGUCUUCAUACAUGUAUCUCAGUUAUGCAUUCCGCUGUAAACACUGAUUAUUUCAAUUACGCCUUCCGUUGCAAACUCUGAUAAUGUUUUAGCCAAGCCCCCAACGAUGCCUUUUUCCUUUUAAGGAAUAUAACGCGUAUACAAGUUCUUUGAGUACCCUUUU